AUGGGGAGGCAGAUCGCCGCCCUGUGCGGCCUUCUCGUGGUGCUGCUCGAGCUCACGUCCGGCGUCAAUGCACAGACGGAGAUCCUGUUUCAGGGGUUCAACUGGGACUCGUGGAACAAGCAAGGUGGCUGGUACAAUAUGCUCAAGGCCCAGGUCGGCGACAUCGCCGGCGCCGGGGUCACACACGUCUGGCUGCCGCCACCUUCGCACUCCGUUUCAUCUCAAGGCUACAUGCCGGGCCGGCUCUACGACCUGGACGCGUCCAAGUACGGCACGGCGGCGGAGCUCAGGUCGCUCAUCGCCGCCUUCGGCGCCAAGGGCAUCAAGUGCGUCGCGGACGUCGUCAUCAACCACCGCUGCGCCGAGGACAAGGACGGCCGCGGCAUCUACUGCAUCUUCAAGGGCGGAGGACCCGAGGGCCUCCUGGACUGGGGUCCCGGCAUGAUCUGCAGCGACGACACCAAGUUCUCCGACGGCACGGGCAACCGUGACACCGGCGCCGACUUCGCCGCCGCGCCCGACAUCGACCACCUCAACCCGCGCGUCCAGAAGGAGCUCUCCGACUGGCUCAACUGGCUCAAGUCCGACCUCGGCUUCCACGGCUGGCGCCUCGACUUCGCCAAGGGCUACUCGGCCGACGUCGCCAGGACGUACGUCCAGAACACGAGCCCCGGCUUCGUCGUCGCGGAGAUAUGGAACUCCCUCAGCUACGACGGCGACGGGAAGCCCGCCGUCAACCAGGACGCGGAGCGGCUGGAGCUGGUGAACUGGGCCAAGGCGGUCGGCGGCCCUGCCAUGGCGUUCGACUUCACGACCAAGGGCAUCCUGCAGUCGGCGGUGCAGGGCGAGCUGUGGAGGAUGCGGGACAAGGAGGGCAACGCUCCCGGGAUGAUCGGCCUGUUGCCGGAGAAGGCGGUCACGUUCGUGGACAACCACGACACGGGCUCGUCGCAGAAGAAAUGGCCGUUCCCGACCGACAAGGUCAUGAUGGGCUACGCCUACAUCCUCACCCACCCUGGAGUUCCAUGCAUCUUCUACGAUCAUGUCUUCGACUGGAACCUGAAGCAAGAGAUCUACGCGCUGGCGGCGGUGAGGAACCGCAACGGGAUCAACGCCGGGAGCAAGCUGCGCAUCCUGGCGGCGGAGAGCGACAUGUACGUGGCGGCGGUUGACGAGAAAGUUAUCGUCAAGCUCGGACCGAGGUUCGACGCUGGCAGCGUCAUCCCGUCCGACUUCCACGUCGUGGCUCACGGCAAUAACUACUGCGUCUGGGAGAAGAGCGGCCUUAGGGUGCCGGCCGGGCGGCGCUAG
rnacentral:rRNA from 1 species